UACAGAGGUGGCAAGCGUUGUUCGGAAUUACUGGGCGUAAAGGGCGCGUAGGCGGCCUUCUAAGUCAGACGUGAAAUCCCCCGGCUUAACCUGGGAACUGCGUCUGAUACUGGGAGGCUUGGGUAUGGGAGAGGGAUGUAGAAUUCCAGGUGUAGCGGUGAAAUGCGUAGAUAUCUGGAGGAAUACCGGUGGCGAAGGCGGCAUCCUGGACCAUUACUGACGCUGAGGCACGAAGGUCAGGGGAGCAAACGGG
rnacentral:rRNA from 1 species